ACGGGAGGCAGCGGUGAGGAAUAUUGGUCAAUGGGCGCGAGCCUGAACCAGCCAAGUAGCGUGCAGGAUGACGGCCCUCCGGGUUGUAAACUGCUUUUAGUUGGGAAUAAAAGAGCGUACGUGUACGCUGUAUUGUAUGUACCAUCAGAAGAAGGACCGGCUAAUUCCGUGCCAGCAGCCGCGGUAAUACGGAAGGUCCGGGCGUUAUCCGGAUUUAUUGGGUUUAAAGGGAGCGUAGGCGGGUUUUUAAGUCAGUGGUAAAAGCGUGCGGCUCAACCGUACCACGCCAUUGAAACUGGAAGCCUUGAGUGCACACAGGGAUGCUGGAAUUCGUCGUGUAGCGGUGAAAUGCUUAGAUAUGACGAAGAACUCCGAUCGCGAAGGCAGGUGUCCGGGGUGUAACUGACGCUGAGGCUCGAAAGUGCGGGUAUCAAACAGGAUUAGAUACCCUGGUA
rnacentral:rRNA from 1 species